rnacentral:rRNA from 1 species
GACGAACGCUGGCGGCAUGCCUAACACAUGCGAGUCGAGCGAGCCGAUCCCUUCGGGGUGAAGCUAGCGGCGGACGGGUGAGUAACACGUGGGCAACCUACCUCAUAGAGGGGAAUAGCCUUCCGAAAGGAAGAUUAAUACCGCAUAAGAUUGUAGCUUCGCAUGAAGCAGCAAUUAAAGGAGCAGUCCGCUAUGAGAUGGGCCCGCGGCGCAUUAGCUAGUUGGUGAGGUAACGGCUCACCAAGGCGACGAUGCGUAGCCGACCUGAGAGGGUGAUCGGCCACAUUGGGACUGAGACACGGCCCAGACUCCUACGGGAGGCAGCAGUGGGGAAUAUUGCACAAUGGGGGAAACCCUGAUGCAGCAAUGCCGCGUGAGUGAUGACGGCCUUCGGGUUGUAAAGCUCUGUCUUCGGGGACGAUAAUGACGGUACCCGAGGAGGAAGCCACGGCUAACUACGUGCCAGCAGCCGCAGUAA